GACGAACGCUGGCGGCGUGCUUAACACAUGCAAGUCGAACGAUGAACCGAGAGCUUGCUCUUGGGGAUUAGUGGCGAACGGGUGAGUAACACGUGAGUAACCUGCCCUGGACUCUGGGAUAACCCCGAGAAAUCGGAGCUAAUACCGGAUAGGACCUUGCACCGCAUGGUGUGGGGUGGAAAGUUUUUUCGGUUUGGGAUGGACUCGCGGCCUAUCAGCUUGUUGGUGAGGUAAUGGCUCACCAAGGCGUCGACGGGUAGCCGGCCUGAGAGGGUGACCGGCCGCACUGGGACUGAGACACGGCCCAGACUCCUACGGGAGGCAGCAGUGGGGAAUAUUGCACAAUGGGCGCAAGCCUGAUGCAGCAACGCCGCGUGCGGGAUGACGGCCUUCGGGUUGUAAACCGCUUUUAGUAAGGAAGAAGGGGAGCUUGCUCCUUGACGGUACUUGCAGAAAAAGGACCGGCUAACUACGUGCCAGCAGCCGCCGUAACAC
rnacentral:rRNA from 1 species